GUGAAUCAUCAAAUUUUUGAACGCAAAUUGCACUCUCUUCGGAGAGUAUGCCUAUUUGAGGGUCAGCCUAAAAAAAUCCACCAUAGUCCCUGUUUCCGGUUGCCUUUCUUCGGAAAUUGGGUCAUCUAAAACCUUUUGGUUUUAACGGCCUAAAAAUUUUCUUUACGAUCCCACGAAGGUUUUAAAGUUUAA
rnacentral:misc_RNA from 1 species